AAAAAACCACCAAAGUGGCAGACUCGCACCGGCGACGUGUCUUUCAAUGUCUGCCUUAUCAACUUUCGAUGGUAGGCUAUGCGCCUACCAUGGUUGCAACGGGUAACGGGGAAUCGGGGUUCGAUUCCGGAGAGGGAGCCUGAGAAACGGCUACCACAUCCAAGGAAGGCAGCAGGCGCGCAAAUUACCCACUCCCAGCACGGGGAGGUAGUGACAA
rnacentral:rRNA from 1 species